rnacentral:lncRNA from 1 species
CUCUUUUACCAUCUUAGCCUCUUACCCUCUCUCCCUCUUCACUCUCGUUUUCUCUUUUUCUUCUUCUCUCACUAUUUCUCUCUCAUUCCUCUACUCCCUCACAUGCUUGCCCUCUCUCCCUCUUGCUUUGUGUCUAGCUCUCAAUAUGUCACUCUCUCACACACACUUACACACACACACACACACACACACACUUUUUACUUUUCAAUCGUCCAGCCUCCCUCUUAUUUUUCCAUCUGUCUCCCUCCACUCCUGCUCUGGAGCCCUGGAUGGUGCUCUUUGCGUAUGUCCGAUCGUUAGGUUUAUGCUGUCUUAUGUGCUUGACUGGCUCUGUACCAGAGGUAAUACGGUGGAAAUAGUAGUAGUUUUCUCUCUGAUUCAGUCUACAUUAUACAGAGGUGUUUUAAUUUUUUCCACUGAUACGUCUUUAUCUACAUGGUUAAUUGUGUUUGUUGGUUUUCUUGCAGGCUUUGGGUCUGCUGGUGGAUUUGGGUCCAAUCAACCAAGAUGGCCUGGACAACAAUAAAGAAUAUACCCUUUUUGUCAUUUUUUUGGAGAGGGUUUUCUGUUUUUGAUUUUUUGCCUACAAAAAUGUUUGAUAUGAAAGUUUUGUCCACAGUGUCUGUUUUAAACAUGUAUUGUUUGUUUACUCACAGUAAAAGAGCUUAAUAAAACUCUAAUUUGAUCUUUGUAGCCAUCAUGUUUUACUGUACCUUCAUCGUAUUGCACAUUAUUGACCUUUCCAUGACACCAGAGUAAAAAAAAGGCUUUUGAAGUAUGUCAUUUCCACUUACACUUUUAUUUCUAUCUAUCCCUAUAAAAAUAACCAUUAAUUGGGGCCUCCCGGGUGGCGCAGUGGUCUGGAGCACUGCAGCGCUAGCUGUGCCAUCAGAGACUCUGGGUUCGUGCCCAGACGCACAAUUGGCCUAGUGUCGUCCGGGUUAGUGAGGGUUUGGCCGGUAGGGAUAUCCUUGUCUCAUCGUGCACCAUCGACUCCUGUUGGGGGCCGGGUGCAGUGCACGUUAACCAAGGUCGCCGGGAGCACGGUGUUUUCUCCGACACAUUGGUGCAGCUGGCUGCGCGCUGUGUUAAGAAACAGUGCUGGCCUGGACAACAGGGGAAGUACCCCAAAAAUGGCAGUAAACGGGUUGGGGCUAACUGUUGUAUGACACAUAUGUGAGAGUGCCUCAAAAAUGGGUCUUUCGACCUUCAUACGGGAGUUGUAGCGAUGAGACAAAAAUAUAUAUAUUUUCCUGCUAUGUCAAACUGGCUCAAAUUAAGAUCCUACUUCUGUACAUAGGGGUUUUUCUAACCUUUUUGGUGACAUGAAGAUUUCAGGAUGACUACAGAGGUCAAAUCAUGACUUAUUGCUCUCUAACUGCGGUUGUUUACCACGAUUAAAGUGCUAUGGAUGUUAUUAUUUUUCUUUUUUGGAUAUGGA